AUACGGAGGGUGCAAACGUUGCUCGGAAUCAUUGGGCGUAAAGCGCACGUAGGCGGCCUGGCAAGUUGGAUGUGAAAGCCCUCGGCUCGACCGAGGAAGUGCAUCCAAAACUGCCUGGCUCGAGUUCCCGAGGGGCCCAGGGAAUUUCCGGUGUAGAGGUGAAAUUCGUAGAUAUCGGAAGGAACACCAGUGGCGAAGGCGCUGGGCUGGCUGGACACUGACGCUGAGGUGCGAAAGCGUGGGUAGCAAACAGGAUUAGAUACCCUAGUAGUCC
rnacentral:rRNA from 1 species